CCCCUUGUAGCUCAGUUGGCAGAGCGGGAGACUGUAGUGGUUCCACUGCCAAAGGCAUCUCUAGGUCACUGGUUCGAAUCCGGUCGAGGGGA
rnacentral:tRNA from 1 species